GGUAUGGGAUGAGCUUGCGUCCGAUUAGCUAGUUGGCGGGGCAACGGCCCACCAAGGCGACGAUCGGUAGCCGGCCUGAGAGGGUGAUCGGCCACAUUGGGACUGAGAUACGGCUCAGACUCCUACGGGAGGCAGCAGUAGGGAAUAUUGCACAAUGGGGGAAACCCUGAUGCAGCAACGCCACGUGUGGGAAGAAGCAUUUCGGUGUGUAAACCACUGUCGUGAGGGAAUAAGGCGUCUUCUCGGAGACGUUGAAUGUACCUCGAAAGGAAGCACCGGCAAACUUCGUGCCAGCAGCCGCGGUAAUACGAGGGGUGCAAGCGUUGUUCGGAAUCACUGGGCGUAAAGGGAGCGUAGGCGGAGAUGCAAGCGGACUGUACAAUACCGGGGCCCAACCCCGGGCCUGCAGUUCGGACUGCACCUCUUGGAUAGUUCAGGGGCAGGC
rnacentral:rRNA from 1 species